rnacentral:rRNA from 1 species
AGCGAACGCUGGCGGCAGGCCUAACACAUGCAAGUCGAACGAACUCUUCGGAGUUAGUGGCGGACGGGUGAGUAACACGUGGGAACGUGCCUUUUGGUUCGGAAUAACUCAGGGAAACUUGUGCUAAUACCGAAUGUGCCCUUCGGGGGAAAGAUUUAUCGCCAUUAGAGCGGCCCGCGUCUGAUUAGCUAGUUGGUGAGGUAACGGCUCACCAAGGCGACGAUCAGUAGCUGGUCUGAGAGGAUGACCAGCCACACUGGGACUGAGACACGGCCCACACUCCUACGGGAGGCAGCAGUGGGGAAUCUUGCGCAAUGGGCGAAAGCCUGACGCAGCCAUGCCGCGUGAAUGAUGAAGGUCUUAGGAUUGUAAAAUUCUUUCACCGGGGACGAUAAUGACGGCACCCGGAGAAGAAGCCCCGGCUAACUUCGUG